UUCCCUCUAUUCCAUUGGGUUGGGAAGCCAUUGCUGACAGACGGAUCGGACAAAGUACAAUUUAGCCACUGUUACGGGUUCAGAUGAUAUGUUGAAGAUCUAACCUCAGGUAUCUCAGAAUAGAUGUACUCUCAAAAACCUGGACCCGGGUGACUGAGAAGACACGCAGACAAUUAUACCAGCACAAGAAACCCUGGAAACAAUCCAAACGUUCAUCAUCGGCCAGAGUAAAGUAUGUUUACACAAUCGGAUUCUCUCUGGUGGUGAAAUGAAUGAGCGAGAGCUAUACAUGUAUAUGUAAAUGAGUCUUGCAAACAGAAGACGAUAGACAAUGUAGAAUAAAGAUAUGCAAACUGCAGGAGAGUAUUUCUAAUCUUCUCAUUUUUAUAAAGUUCAAAAACAGAAAAUAAACAAUGAUUUUUAGGGAUAUAUACAUAUGGCAUAAAACUAAUAUUUAGAAAGAGAGAACAAUGAGCCCCAAAUUUGGGAUAAUACUUAGCUCUGAGGCAGGAAAGAGACAAGAAGGUGGUCGAGAAGGAUUAUAGGGGGCUUCAACUAUUUUGAAAAUAGCUUAUUUAUUAAGCUCGCUGGUGGAUAAACAAGUGUUCACUAUAGUAUGGUUGGGUUUUGUUUUUUUUUUUUUUACAUGAAGUAAAUG